GAUGAAGAACGCAGCGAAAUGCGAUACUUGGUGUGAAUUGCAGAAUCCCGUGAACCAUCGAGUCUUUGAACGCAAGUUGCGACUCAAGCCAUUAGGUUGAGGGCACGUCUGCCUGGGCGUCACAUAUCGUUGCCUGAUGCCAGUUUCCUCGUGAUGGGUGACUGUGCAGGGCGAAUGAUGGCUUCCCGUGAGCAUUGUUGCCUCAUGGUUGGUUGAAAAUUGAGUCCUUGGUAGGGAGCGCCGUGAUAGAUGGUGGUUGAGUGACGAACGAGACCCAAUCAUGUGAGACCCCUACCGAAUUUGGCCUUCAUGACCCACAUGCGUCUUUGGAACGCUCAUGACGAGACCUCAGGUCAGGCGGGGCUACCCGCUGAGUUUAAGCAUAUCAAUAAGCGGAGGA
rnacentral:misc_RNA from 1 species